rnacentral:rRNA from 1 species
UAGGGAAUCUUCGGCAAUGGGGGGAACCCUGACCGAGCAACGCCGCGUGAGUGAAGAAGGUUUUCGGAUCGUAAAGCUCUGUUGUUAAGGAAGAACGAGUGUGAGAAUGGAAAGUUCAUACUGUGACGGUAGUUAACCAGAAAGGGACGGCUAACUACGUGCCAGCAGCCGCGGUAAUACGUAGGUCCCGAGCGUUGUCCGGAUUUAUUGGGCGUAAAGCGAGCGCAGGCGGUUAGAUAAGUCUGAAGUUAAAGGCAGUGGCUCAACCAUUGUAGGCUUUGGAAACUGUUUAACGUGAGUGCAGAAGGGGAGAGUGGAAUUCCAUGUGUAGCGGUGAAAUGCGUAGAUAUAUGGAGGAACACCGGUGGCGAAAGCGGCUCUCUGGUCUGUAACUGACGCUGAGGCUCGAAAGCGUGGGGAGCGAACAGG